GACGCCGCGGGCGACGAGGCGGAGGACGCGGACGAGGCCGAGGAGGGCUGCAGGGUGGGCCCGUUCAUGGCGGAGAGCGAGGUGGCGCGGCCAGGCUGAAAGACACGGUGGGGUGGGCGACAGGGAGGGAGCAGGCAGGACUCUGGAGAAAUCCCUGCUCACACGUGCAGAGAGUGAUGCGCGGGACAAUCCCUGACCAGACAUUUCCCGCUCCAGCGACCUCAACCCAUCAGACUGAGGUUGAUGGGAGAAACUGUGGCGCAGGCUGGAGCAUUCUGCCACGGUGGGAAAGGAUGAGGAAGACGUCUGCCACCACCUCGGGGAGAUACCCAAGGAUCCCACCAAGGGAAAGGCACAGCGCGGAACAACACACACUGCGAUCCCAUUUACACCAACACAGAAACCCAACUCCCGCAUGUUGAAAACACGGUUCAGAACAGAGCCUGGAGCCUGGCCCAGAUCCCAGCACCACCACCUGCCAGCUGUGUGACCGUGGGCGAGUCACUCGGUUUCUCUGCCUUCAUUUCCCUCUCUGUAAAUGGGGCCCAUGGCUGUACCUGUCUCAUGGGAGUGUCAUGAGGAUUAACUGAGUGAAUAAAUGCAAAGGCCUCAGAACCUAGGAGAAGCCUAA